rnacentral:snRNA from 1 species
CUGCUCACCUCAGCAGCACGUAUACUAAAAUUGGAAUAAUACAGAGAAGAUUAGCGUGGCCCCU